CAGCCGCCACGGUAAUACGGAGGGUGCAAGCGUUAUCCGGAUUUAUUGGGUUUAAAGGGUCCGUAGGCGGACUUAUAAGUCAGUGGUGAAAGCCUGUCGCUUAACGAUAGAACUGCCAUUGAUACUGUAAGUCUUGAGUAUAUUUGAGGUAGCUGGAAUAAGUAGUGUAGCGGUGAAAUGCAUAGAUAUUACUUAGAACACCAAUUGCGAAGGCAGGUUACCAAGAUAUAACUGACGCUGAGGGACGAAAGCGUGGGUAGCGAACAGGAUUAGAUACCCGAGUAGUCCCUGUCUCUUAUAC
rnacentral:rRNA from 1 species